GACGAACGCUGGCGGCGUGCUUAACACAUGCAAGUCGAACGGAAAGGCCCUGCUUUUGUGGGGUGCUCGAGUGGCGAACGGGUGAGUAACACGUGAGUAACCUGCCCUUGACUUUGGGAUAACUUCAGGAAACUGGGGCUAAUACCGGAUAGGAGCUCCUGCUGCAUGGUGGGGGUUGGAAAGUUUCGGCGGUUGGGGAUGGACUCGCGGCUUAUCAGCUUGUUGGUGGGGUAGUGGCUUACCAAGGCUUUGACGGAUAGCCGGCCUGAGAGGGUGACCGGCCACAUUGGGACUGAGAUACGGCCCAGACUCCAACGGGAGGCAGCAGUCGGGAGUAUUGCACAGUGGGCGGAAGCCUGAUGCAGCAACGCCGCGUGCGGGAUGACGGCCUUCGGGUUGUAAACCGCUUUCGCCUGUGACGAAGCGUGAGUGACGGUAAUGGGUAAAGAAGCACCGGCUAACUACGUG
rnacentral:rRNA from 1 species